rnacentral:lncRNA from 1 species
ACAGGUAUUCUCACUGAAACAACAUAGUGACUUUGAAGGCAGGAGAUUAUUAUUCCCAUUUUACAGAAGAGAGAACUGCAGCUCAAAAACGUAAAACAAAAAACAAGACUUAUUCACGCUGGUGUUCAAGGAGAAAAGGAGUCCAAGCAUCUUUGAAGUUGCUUCGAGUGCCAAUAACUAUGCUCUCAGCUUUGGUAUACAUUGGGCUUUCCUAUGGUGAGAAAAAUGAACUACCUACAUCUGGAGCAGCUGGUUAGGUGUUAAAAUGAAGAACCCUGGUCCAACUUCAUCCAGACAGACUGCAUCAGUAGCACUGGGAAUGAAGUCUGAGAAUUUGUUUUUUAUAUUUAUUUUUUAAAUAAGCUCCUCAAAGUAUCCUCAUUCACUCUGAAGUUUGAAAAACACUGCCAUUAAAUUUAUACAAAAGCACAGAUAGACACAAAUGAGGGUUUCCCCAGUAGUUGGACUAGAAAAUCACUAAUUUGGCUUAACUCUGAAAAGACAAGCCCCCAAAAUUUACAAAAAUAAAAUAUAAAGAAAUGUUUUGUAAAAAACUUGUUCAUCUUAAAACCACUCUCUUUUGCCUCCUGCUUUUCAUCCAUGUGCUGUUCUGUUUUCCUUGGGAUUACAAAGUGUUCUAAAUAGUUGUGAUGAUUUUGAGCAUAUUCCCUGAGAUUAUAUCUCUACCAAGCCCCAGGGAGAAGAGAAGGUCAGAAGUAAGUUCCAGUGGUGGGGGUUUACCAGCUCUCCAACUCUAGUCUUGAACUGCUUUCUAUUAAAGAAUUCCUCCCCAGCUUGUUAGUCUUCUUUAUCCAUAAAACCUUGUCAAUGCUCCCAGCUGGAAUUAGUCUCCCCCUCUUCUAGGCUGCCACACUCUUUAUCAAGUGCAUUUCACUUAUUUCUGCCUGCCUUGCAAUGAGUUAAAUCCAAUAAAAUGUCAUUUGUGUAAUGCUCUCCAAAGCAUUUUUACACACACUAACUCAUUGAUCUUCACAAUAUACCUUAGUUGGGAUUAGAACUAUUUUUAUUUUAAUAAAAGUUAUUGAGGCUCCAGGAGGUUAAAUGACUUCUUCAAGAUCAAGAAAUGAGUUAAUGCCAGAGGCAUAUCUUCAUACCAUUACACUGUUUUUCAUAUAAAUUGUAUAGUUUUAUUCCUCUUUCAUUAAGCUACAAAUUUUUGAAAUUAUGCAACUGAACGGGUCAGAACAUGCUAGAUGCCAUGCAACAUAACUGCGUCAGUGAAGCCUCUUUCAUUGAGAAAUUUACAGUCUUAUUAGAUAAUUGAGGUCCACCCUGAUCACUUUCACCCAGUAUUGCAGUUGUUUAUUCUUUUCUUUCUCAAAUGCAUUUAAGUCUCCAUAUUUUAGAUACUCCACCAAGAACUAUACAUACUUUAAAAAAAUUGCAGUAGAAUAAUGUAGCUGUUAUUAGGAAUAUAAUCACAGAGGAAAGAUUGACCCUAGAAGUACCAGAUUGUCUAAGAGCUUGAGUUUAAGAGCUUGCUCACUGGAGGCAGAAUUUCUGGAUUUGUUUCCUGUCUCCACCACUUAAUACCUCUGUGACCUUGGGCAAAGAUUUAUAUGUGUUAUUCCUUGAAUAUUAGAGGAGCGUGUAAAGACAUUAGAACAUAUCCUGAUGCAGACUAAGUGCUAAAUCAAUGCCAGCAAUGAUAAUAAUAAUAAUUAGAUGUUAGGAUCAUUAUUUAAGCCUUGGGCCAAAUUUGGGAAAAUAUUAGCCAUCAUAUUUUCAAAAUAUUUUUCUUCACCACUCUUUCUGCUUUCCUUUGGAAUGUUGAUGACACAACUGUUAGCCAUUUUGAUAUUGACUCAAGAGUCCUCUAUUUAUUGCUUUUUCAAUCUUUUUUUCUCUCUAUUGUUAAAACUGGAUAAUUUCUAUCAAUAUUUUAUAAAGUUCAUUAGCUUUUUCCUCUGUCAUUUCCAGUCUACUGUUGGGCCUAUCCAGUGACUAUUUUUAUUUUGCUUAAUGUAUUUUUCACUUCUAAAAUGUGCAUUUUUUUGUUAUAGCUUCAAUUUAUCUGAAGAUAUAUAUUUUUUUCAUUUCAAGAGUGUUCACACUUACUUUGCAGAGCAUGAUUAAAAUUACUGCUUUAAAACCUUUAUCUAAUAAUUCUAAUACCUGUAUUAUCUUGGGUUCAGCAUAUGUUAAUUAUCUUCUUGAAAGAUAUUGAUAUGUCCUGGUUCUUCAUGUUUAAUAGUUUUAUAGUAUAUCUUGGGCAUUUUAAAUAUUAUGCUCUAAGGGUCUGAGUCUUUUAAAAAAUCUCACACAGAAUAUUUUUUGUUAGCUUGUUUUAGCAAGUAAUUGACUCAGUAUCAGGCUAUAAGUUCCUGUCUGCCUUCCCUCUAGGAUAUAGUUCCAAUGUAGGUUUAAUUUUCAAAGCCUUUGAAGUGCUAUUUAGAUCUGUCUCUUUUACGUACCACUCAGUGACAAAUCUAAGAUCUAGAUGGGGAUUUACCACAUAGUUUGGUUCUAAAAGCCUCUUGUAUGCAAUUUAGGGCUGAGUCCCAUGAAUGCACAGCUUGAAGGCAAGCCCAAAAAUGUAUACAUAACUUUAUGGUACCACUUUAUUUCCUAGUUAUGAUUUUCCUGGCACAUUCUGGCUCCCAGCCUCCACAUCUCGUUUCACCCCCACUUCUGCCUUGGUUUUCUCUCUGGGAAACUGGGGUUUUAGGUGCCCAUCUCUGCCAUGUACUUUCUGCAAUUGAGUCUGCAUUAGGGGCCAAGCAAUGAGGGGAUACAAAAUGAUAAAAAGCAGCAACAGCUAUUUCUUCUAUUCUCCUGGUACCACAGUUCUUCUCGGAAGCUUGGACACAGACACAUGUACAGGGAACAUGAUGUGAAAAGAUACAGGGAGAAGACAGCCAUCGACCUGCUCAGGAGAGAGGCCUGAAACAAAUCCCUCAGUCACGGCCCUCAGAAGGAAUCAACUCUGCUGACACCUUGAUUCUGAACUUCUAGCUUCCAGAACUAUGAGAUAAUACAUUUAUGUUGUUUAAGCCUGCCAUUCUGUUGUUUGGAUAUUAUGUGGUAUUUUGUCAUGACAGCACUAGCAAACUACCAUUCUUUUUGCCCACACUUGGUGUAAACUUAUGAGUUUUAGGCUUGGGGGUGGGGGCGGGUGAUGGCAGGGAAGAACAUAAUUACCAGUUUAGUGUUAUUCUGAGUUCUGGUUUUCUUUCUCAAUCUGCCGGCUACCACCUGCUUUUUAUACUCCUCGGAUAGCUGCUGUAGGCAUUCUGUACAGGGUUUGCAGUUACAUUUAGUGAGAAAGACAAGGUGAAGUGAACUUACUGAGUCUUGACCAACCCAAACUGAGAGUUUUUUAGUUUGUUAUGACCCUCUCCCCUCCUUAGAUUUUACAAGAAUGAUUUGAAAAAGGAUCUUAUAAUAUUUCAUAAUUUCAUCAAGGAAUGGAAAAAGGAAUCUCAUGAUCACCUUUGCUUUUGAAACUAAUUUCCUCCAGGCUCAGUUUACAGAUGUUAAUAUCUUUUAAUUGCAAUUUAAACUUCUGAGUUUAUUCUGCUUAUUAUUAGUCAGGGUUGAGGGAGCUUUGAACUUUGGGACAAUAAAAUAAAUUAUCUGUGUUCACCUCUUAUGACAAAGAAUGAGCACCAAUGGCACAGGCAUUUUUAGGACUCCUGUUCCUGACUUAUUCAGGUUUCAGCCAAUUCAAUUUUAUAGACAUUUAUUGAUUUCCCAUUUUUUUUGAAAAACCUUUACUAAUGACACUAAAAGGAUAGAACAGACAUGAUUCUCUCUCUCAAGGAAUUUAGGGGAACAACCUAAAUUUUAAAAAUACUCUAAAUUUAAAAAAUAGGAAUAAUGUUACUCCCCGUACAGAUGAUGUGUGGAUAUUUAGAAAAAAUAAAAUAAAAAUUUUGUAAACAUAAAAUUUCAUGACAAUGAAGGGUAAUUAUAUUUUAUUUGCCCUAAAGAAGGCCUCUUUUAAGCUUUAAGAAAGGCCUGAAAAUAGGAGUCUGAGUUUUCCUGAAGAAAACGAUGUUUCCUCUCCUUAAAUCCCUUCAAAUUUUGUUUCUACAUUUUCUAAACCUAAUAUUGCAAGGCAAAACAAUCCUUAUGUUUUUAGUCUGGAAUUGUGCAGCAGCCUCUGCUGGCCCUUGCCCUUUUGGGAACAUCUAAAAUAUCAUUAAGUCUUUCUGAAAGAACAAGUACCAGAGCUGCACACAAUAUUCUGCCAACAGACAUCCUGGGUCUUGCAAAGUGGGAGACUGUGAUGUAUCCGGAUUUAAGAGAAAAAUGCUAGGUAUGAAAGUACACAACCUCUUACACUGAUAGAUAAUUUGCUUUCACUCUUGAAGCUGUAUGGAGUUUCUAAUGUCUUUACUCUUCCUACUUCUCCAGCCUGUCAAAAUAAGACUCAUUUAUGCAAUAAGUAAUGUAUGAACUUACACUUGGUGAUUGCGGUGGUAAACAACAUAGAAAAUGUCCGUGAUUUCAAGGGGUUUGUAUUCUAAUAGAAGAGGGGGAAGAAGGGAAGGAAGAGAGGAAGGGAGGGAGGAAGGAAGGAAGGAAGGAAAGAGGGAGGGAAGGAGGGAAGGAAGGGAGGAGAAAAAAGAAAAAAGAAAAGAGAGAAAGACAGAAGGAAAGUUGGAGGAAAAGGAGGAGAAAGAGAUAAAUAUCAGUUAAUAAUAAAUGUUGAAAAGAGAAUUACAAUAGGGUAAGAUAAUAGACAAAAACGGGGUGUCAGGUAAAACCCCUCUGAGAUAUAUGAAGGGCAAGAGCAAGAGCAUUCCAAGCAGAGGAAGUAGCCAUUUCAAAGGCCCUACAGCAGGGAUAAUUUUGGCACAACUGAGGAAAAGACAAUAGGUCAGGGGCUAGAAUGGAGAUAACAGAGAGGGAAGUGGUACAAGAUGAGGUCAUAGAGAUUGUCACAAACCAGAUUACACAGGGCUCUGGAAGUCAAAGCAAGAAGUUUGGAUUUUAUUCUAAGUGUUAUGGAAGCCAUUAGCAGUCUUCAAGCAGGAAAGUAAUAUGUUCUUACUUUAAAAUUUUUUUCACUGUCGUCUUUGUGAGAAGUGCAUUGUAUUUCUCCUUCAGGACCCAUUUUAUUUUAUUUUACUUUAUUUUUAGAGACAGAGGCUUACUCUUUUUGUCCAGGCUGGAGUGCAGUGGUACAAUCAUAGCUCACUAUAGACUCAAACUCCUGGGUUCAAGCCACCUUUCUGCCUCAGUCUCUUGAGUUGCCAUUAUUACAGGCAUGUGCCAUCACACCUGGCUAAUUUUUAAAUUUUUGUUGAGAUGGGCUCUCACUACAUUGCUCAAGCUAGUCUCAAACUCCUGGCCUCAAGUGAUCUUCCUGCCUAGGCCUCCCAAAGCAUUGGGAUUUUAGGCAUGAGCCACCAUGCCCAGACAGGACACAUUUUAAAUGUUUCUUUAAUCAUACAUUCUCCCUUCAAACCCUUGGGCAAAAUCAAUUCUGCCUCCAUCUUUGGCUUGAGUAUAGAUCUACUGAAUAUAUAUAGUCACUUGGACUUCAGUGACUAGUCCAAUUUAAUUGCACCUGAACGUUUCUCUUCGGGCUCAAGUGAUCCUCUUGCUUUGGCAUCCCAAAUUGUUGGGAUUAUAGGUGCGAGCCACUGCUCUUGGCUGUUAUUACUUUUAAAAAGUGUAAGUUGUACUACAGAGAGCAAACUUUGAUUCAUUUGGGUUAGCUUUUGGCAUAUUUCAAGAUGACAACAUUCAAGGAAAAUAAGUGCCUUGAGGUGUCUUAAAUCUAACUUUCAGGUUUUAGAUACCAAUGGCCUACAACAUGACUUUCAAAUUCUUAUAUCUAGCCCAGACUUCCUCUCAAAGCUUACACUCACAUGUUCAUUUGCUAAAACCUAACAGUCUUACUAAAUUUCUCCCUGUUUCUCAAUUUAAUCCAUCAGCAGCCCCUAUAGGUUUUACCUCCUGAAAAUAUCUUAAAUAUGACUUCAUAUUAAUUUAAAAAUGAAUCUGGCUAACAGUCUUUGAUGUAGUUUCUCUCCAACUUAUUACUAAAAAUAUAUAUUUAAAAAAGACAAAAAUUGUCAACAGCAUCAAAUAUUAAAACUUAAAAUUACCGGAAUCCAAUGCACUUUUAACAAAUUACCAUAAAUUUGAAAAAUAGAAACAAAUAAUUUUCAACAAAUUUCAAUGUAGCCAGUGGAAACAUAUCAAAUUUACUUUUCUGAAAAUAUAGUAGGAAAUCCUACCCAAUUUUUGGUUUAUAGAUCUGAAAUACAAGGUCUGAACUAAAAGAAAAUGGAGCCAAUAUCUCUCUUAACCCUAAGUUAUUCUAUUGAAAGCAGUCACCAUGUCUUUGUCCACAGCUAGUUCUCCUUCGUAUAUACAGAUCAUAUCAUACUUGGAAUUAUUUAAUAUCUGAUUUUUUUCUAAAGUGGCAGAUAAAAUUGCAUGUAUUUACCAUGUACAACAUGCUGUUUUGAAGUACAAAUACCUUGUGGAAUGGUUAAAUCUAGCUAAGUAACAUAUGCAUUUCUUCAUAUAGCUAUUUUUGUGCUGAGAACAUUUAAACAUCUACUCUGUUUGCAUUUUUCAAGAAUUUGAUAUGUCUUCAUUAAUUAUAGUCAACAUGCUGUUCAAUAGAUCUCUUGAACUUAUUCCUCCUACCAAACUGUCACUUUUUGACCAAUUCUUAAGUAGAGUAUGGUCUUCAGAAGGACAGGGUUACAUCUAUUGUGUUCAUCAUGAUGUUUUUAACGUCUAGAAGAGAACCUAGGACAUAGGAGGUACUCAAUAUUGCUUUGUUUUUGGACUACAACCAUUUCUUCUGUAAAACAACUGUGGUAUAUUAAAAAAAGAUAAUUGGCAGUGAUGUACUAUAUUUGGAAAAUAGAGCACUUCAUUUGGGAUUAAAA